UGGGGAAUAUUGCACAAUGGGCGAAAGCCUGAUGCAGCAACGCCGCGUGAGUGAUGAAGGCCUUCGGGUUGUAAAGCUCUGUCUUUUGGGACGAUAAUGACGGUACCAAAGGAGGAAGCCACGGCUAACUACGUGCCAGCAGCCGCGGUAAUACGUAGGUGGCAAGCGUUGUCCGGAAUUACUGGGCGUAAAGAAUGCGUAGGUGGAUAUGCAAGUCAGAUGUGAAAUACCCGGGCUCAACUUGGGUGCUGCAUUUGAAACUAUAUAUCUAGAGUGCAGGAGAGGAAAGCGGAAUUCCUAGUGUAGCGGUGAAAUGCGUAGAGAUUAGGAAGAACACCAGUGGCGAAGGCGGCUUUCUGGACUGUAACUGACACUGGGGCAUGAAAGCGUGGGGAGCAGACA
rnacentral:rRNA from 1 species